AGCAACGUUAUGCAAUGGUACGAACUCGUUAGUUUGUCAGGAAGACGGAUCGUGGAAAGGAAACUCAGGGUGCAAGCCUCAACUACCUCUAACGUGUAGCGGUAAGGAUCCAUGUACAAACGCUGUAGCUAGUGGAGGUAGCCAAUAGAGACUGUGUUACGGAGCGGACGACUAUGGGUGUCAUCCCACUAAAGGCCGUCUGGAAGUACUGCGAGAUGAGGAGUGGCGAGGUGUUUGUGAUGACCAAUGGAAUGAUGACUACAAUUUCCAUAGAAAUCUACUAGUCGCAUGCAGAUCUUUGGGCUUCCAGUACGGUGUUGAAUGGAUAAAGAUUUCAGCGAACAACAUCAUUGAGGACAUUGAUUUCUGGCUCGAUGAAGUGAUAUGUUCAGGUUUUGAGUCAAAUCUCAAUGAGUGCAAACAAAACCCAUGGGGAGUUAAUGAUUGCAAUCCUACCAAGUACAUCGGGAUCUCAUGCGGCAAUCCAUGCUCCGAGGCGUCCACGUUUCCUCCACCAAGAAGUGGAUAAUUUAAACAAAUGAUACAUGAAGUGCAACAUGCAGAUAUAGAUCUUUAUUUAUAGCUGAAACCAUGUGUAAUACAUCUUUAUUUCUUUGAGAGAACUUGAAAUUUAACAUCGAAUAGAGUAAAACUUUAACAUGUCAAAAUAUUACACGCAGUCACACAAACUAUGUCUGAUUUCAGCAAAUUGAUAGUGAAAGAAGUACUUUUACUUGUUCAGUUGAUUAGGAUUUUGGAAAAUAAAAGACACACAUGUAUAAAUACUGGCAAUCCUUUGAAAGGGAAGAAUAUGUUAAAACAGUUCUUGGUAGAGGU